AGCACUACCCCUUUGUCCAAGUGCCUUAUAACAUGUCUUUAUAACUGGCUGUGUAAGAAUGAAGAAAAGCUGUCCAUCUUCUGAGAAGGAAGCAGCAUGUGCCAUCCUUCUGUCAGAAAACACCAAAGAGAUGAAGAAAUGAGAAAUCCAGAAACCAAAGACCUUGCUCUUUUGUCAAACAGACUUGGUAGAGCAGAGUUGCAAAAUCAGACCUUUGGGGGCUUGCGUGUUUCUCCUCUUACUCCCUGGUGUAGAAGCCCUGCCUUGAACUUCAGGCUGCCUGGCUUGGAUCCUGAUGCUGCUUUGCUGACACAAUCCAUUCUCCCAGGGAACACCCAGAGUUCCACUCCAGCCCUGGCAACGCUGCAGCAGAGUAGGCCAACUGUACGGAAAGUCUACAUUGGCUCGGAACAAUUGAGGCUGGGAGAGGGUAUCACAGCAAUUUCCCCACAUCCAUUCCAGCUGGUGAUUUCCUGCUUGGUCGUCUUUUAAAACCCAGCCAUCUGAAUCCGAGAGUUGCUUCUUCAGCAAGGCCUCCCCUGACUCCUUCAGAUGUCUAAGCACCACCCCUACUCUUCUGCUGCAGCAUCUCCACUUGCUUUUGUCCUUCAUCUCCCUGAAAUUAUUUGCUUACUCAUCCAUCCAUGUCAGUUGCAAAAGCAUGACUUCCUCUAGUCCAAAGGCCAUUCAUGUUCAAUAUGUUAGCACUCGGAGCGUCUCCAGUGGUUGUUUCAAACAAGGCAAAUGAGUUCAGUUGAACUUUAUAUGUUCUGCCCUCCGACUGUGACUGUUAUUUACUUCCCUCCAAACAAAAUGUAAUAAUAAAAUGACUAACUGAACACUGCCCUUUA
rnacentral:lncRNA from 1 species